AUUUAGAGCACCUUGUGAUUCCAGUGUUUUUACUUUUAAAGCAACAAAUUAUUUCUUUAUCAUUUUGUGCCUUGAAAUUUGGGAAUGAAAAUUAGAAUUUCUAAAACACUCUCUCAAUUUUUAUCUAAAUAUAGCCUUAACUCACCAGAUUGGGGACCUAACUUUGAUAUCUAAAACACCAGAUUAGUCUAGUGUCUCUUGCAGCAGAUGGGCUGACUUUGAAAUCUAGAGUUAGGAAUAUAAAUGGCAAGCCAUUUAGUUUCUCAUUCGCAUAUCACACAUAGUUAUUGGUUUCUGACAUUAGAUGCCCUUAAAGGCGUCAGAGAGGGAUGUAUAUGAACUCUUCUCAAAAGCUAGCAAGGUAAAGGACGUCUGUCUAAUCAUGGAUAGGAACUCAAGACGAUCAAAAGGAGUUGGAUCUUUAAUGAUUCAUCUCCAAUGUAAGCUCCAGACAUUAAAAACAUUAGAAUCAAGUGGGCUUCUCUUAUUUUAAGUGUUAGUAAAUUGUAGAAACUUGACUACAAUGUAAUGUAGGUUAAUGUUAUAUUUGGA